UACGAAGGGGCUAGCGUUGCUCGGAAUCACUGGGCGUAAAGCGCACGUAGGCGGCUUGUUAAGUCAGGGGUGAAAUCCUGGAGCUCAACUCCAGAACUGCCUUUGAUACUGGCGAGCUUGAGUUCGGGAGAGGUGAGUGGAACUGCGAGUGUAGAGGUGAAAUCGUAGAUAUUCGCAAGAACACCAGUGGCGAAGGCGCUCACUGACCCGAUACUGACGCUGAGGUGCGAAAGCG
rnacentral:rRNA from 1 species